rnacentral:lncRNA from 1 species
AGUGUAGACACACAGAUGUAUAUAUGUAAUGUUUAAAUUUCCUUUUUUAUUGAAAAUUUUAUUAAAGAUUAUAAUUAAAGUUUAUAAUUAAAUAGUAUAAAUUAAAGUUUAUAAUUAAUAACAUGUUAAAACUAAGGUUCUUUCCCUCUGCCCCCUCCCACCCGGACCUCAUGUAUCCUAGGCUGGCUUUGAACUUGCCUUAUAACAAAGCAGGACUUUGAACUUCUCACCAUCUUGCCCCCAUAUCCUGAGUGCUGGGAUUUCACACAUGAUCCACCACACCAAGUCUAUGCAGCUCUAGGCAUUGAACCCUUGGCCCUCAGCUUUUUCUGGGCAAAGCACUCUAGCAUCUGAGCUAUAUCUCCAGACCCCAAACAAGGGAAGAUUGAUGUUGAAAAACAAAACAAAACAAAACAAAAAAACUUGCGUAGUGCUAUGGUCUGAAAAAUGUCUCCCUAAAUCCAAAUGUUGAAAUAAAUGGCCAAUGUGAUAUAUAAGACUUAAAUCAAGUCUUGAGUGUGAAAAGAUUUGUAGCUGUUAUGAGAGAGCUUAAGAUAGUGUGUUUGUGCUCUGUCUUGGCUCUGCCCUAUGAUGACCCAGUGUUCAUCCUUCUGCGCAUGCAAAGACAAGCUGCCAUUUUGGUACAAAAGAGCUUUUCUUAUGGGACUCCCAAGCCGAUUGGCAUGUUUGCUUUGAAAUCUCCAGUUAACAGAACUAACUGUGCGACACAAACCUCACAAAUCUCUGCUUCUUAUAAACAUCAAUGCAAAUGAACUAAGACACAGACUAUUUAUUUUUGUUGCAUGUGCUUGGAAUUUGUGUGUCUAGGCUGAUAAAUCAGCACAUGGGUGACUUUAGUUCCAAUGAAUUGCUUUCAGGUAUCGGCCCCUUAUCUACCUUCAUGGCUCCAUCAACUAGCAGGAAGUCCCAGCCACAUUUUUAAUAUAAGCAUCAAGUUAUUGUAUCAUUACCACAUAUAUUUUUAUUAUUAAAAAUAAAAGCACAAAAAUGUCAUGUGACCUUUGUAAUACCAUAGUGUUUACCUUUUGUCUGACAAUCAUGGACUGUUAUUUAAGUCAUCUAAUCAUUUACCUAGCAGAUAUAAGUUACCCUGGGCCUUCAGCAUCCCAUGCCUAAUACACACAACAUGUACACUCAUAUCUGAGGGCCAGAGGGAGCAUAACUGUAGAAGCUCAGUGUGGGAGUACCUGCUCAGUAUGUCAUAUACAAGGCUCUGAGCUUAAUUCACAGCACUGCAAAAACAAAACAAAACAAAAUAUCUUUCUGCUACCUUUUUCCUAAUAAUCCAUCAAAAUGUAUUCUGAAUUGUCUUUCCCUCACUGUGGCAAAGUGUCUGAAGAAAAGUCAGCUUAAAGGAAAAGGCUGUUUUGGCUUAGGGUCAGAGAGUUUUGGCCUGUGGUUGCUUGGUCCCAUUGCUUUGGGGCCUGUAGUGUAGCAGGACACCAGAGCAGAAGGGUGUGGUUGAAGAGAUCUCUUUACUUCGUGAUAGCUGAGAAGCAGAGGGGCAAGAGGAGAACACAAGGACCCUAGUACCCAUAGGGCAUGCUCCUAACUCCCUACCAGUCCACACUUUUUAAAGUCUGCCUUGCCUCCCAGUGGCCCCACAGUCAGCAAACAAAUAUUUAAGCAGUUGACUUUGGGGGAUAACAGCAUAAACCAUAAUAUGUAUGAGCAUAUACAAAAGACAUAUAAUGCAUAGCAAAGAAUUAUAUAAUGGAUGCUACCCUCUAUUUUAAUGGUUGAGUAAGAGCUUUCUGUGAAACAUUCUGGCCUGUGUGCUUGCAUGCUUGUUUCAGUAGUUGGGGGCAGGGGGGAGACUAUCACUCUUCCAUUGUAACUACUUUAUUUAGUCAUUUCUCACCUUUGGUUUUCUACUGUUUUGUUGUUUGUUUUGUUUUGUUGUUGUUUGUUUUGUUUUGUUUCAUAUAUUACAUCAGGACUGUAGCUCCCUCCUUCCCUUCCUCUCUCUGCAGGAUCCACUCUGUUUCCCUUCAGAAAAGUCCAGGCCUCCCAGAGUCCUCGACCAAAUGCGACUUAUCAAGUUGCAAUAUGACUAGGCAUAACCCCACAUAUUGCUUCCACUUUUUCUUAAAACAGUUUCACUAGUAUAUUGUCCCAGAAAGUAACACCUGUCUAGGUUAUCAAAUUGAUAGAGUUAUGUAUGACAUUCUCUUACACGUCAAGAUAAAGUUUUUCUGCUUAUAAUACUUUCCCUUCUCUUUUCGAAACUAAUGUCAUGAUUUCUUCUUUCUCUUCUCAUGAUUUUGUUUUCCAAAGAGUUUUUUCUUAUACUUUCACAGAAAAGAACAAGCAAACAUCUUCCUCCCUUCCUUCUUUUUUCUUAUUGCCUGUAGUUUCUUAAUUAUUUAUUUUUUUACAUCGUACCUUUUAAAAUGGCUUCAUUGAAAUGUAUUACCCAUUUCUUAAAACUCAUUUUAUGGCCAGGCAGUGGUGGUGCAUGACUUAAGUCCCAGAGAGGCAGGCAGAUCUCUGAAUUAGCUGAGCCUAGUCUACAUGGUGAGUUUUAUGACACUAGAGAAAACAGGGAAGCUCUGUCUAAAUAACCCAAAAACCAAACACACACACACACACACACACACACACAAAGCAAGCAAAAAACCAAAAAACUACUCAUUUUAGUAUAUACCAGCCUUUCUGUACCCAUAAAUUCAAGCAACUUCAGAUUCUCCUUUAAGCUCACAGUAGAUGUAUCAAUCUUGAGUAUUAAUGACUUUUUGAUUCUUAUCAGUGUUAUCAAAGCAUCACAGUGUAACUAAUGACUCUUGUGUAUUAUAAGUGACCCAGAGGUGACUUACAGUGUUUGAAAGGUAUGUGUAAGUUACGAGCAAAUACUUGUUCUUUUGAGUGUUUACUUCUUUUUCACAAUGAUGAAUAAUGCUACCACAAAUACUCAUGUAUACAUUUUUAUAUUGGCAUGUAUUCUCAUUUCUCUUAAACAACUGUCUAUGAAAUGGGAUUGCUCUGUCAUAUC